GUCGGCGUGGCGAAAUUGGCAGACGCAAGGGACUUAAAAUCCCUCGAUAGCAAUAUCAUACCGGUUCGAGCCCGGUCGCCGGCACCA
rnacentral:tRNA from 1 species